GAUUAAGAUGAUGAGAGGAGGGUAUUCAUGGAAUCGUCCAAGCGAAUAGGCUUGCGAAUGGGUUUAAAACAUCGGUGGGUUGACGGAAAAUGAUUCAGUUUCAUGGAGUAUCAACAAGUGAACAGUAAGAUAUAAAAGGAAAAUAGUGUUGACAAUUAAAUCAUAUUGUGAUUUGUGAUCAUCAACAAACAGGAGUAAACAAACAAUUAAUACUUUUCCUUGUGAUAAUUUAACAAAAGUUUUCAUUUAAACGUUUGUGAGUGUGUAGAGAGAGACACUUAACUAAUUCUCAAUCCAUUUAAAGCCAAAUAUUAAUCAACUCUUUUUUUGUCACUUCCAAUUAACGCAAAUCAACAAUGAGUCCAAUUUGGAGUAUACUUCUCAUCGCUCUUCUCUAUGUUAACCUGAGCCUUGUUGAGGCAGGUAAGAAGAUGAAUCAAGAUGAAGUAAUUGUAAUCAACAACAAUGGAGGUGGUAAAUGUGGUGGACACACAAGGACAAUUGUCAAAACCGCUGGACAAGGUAAAAAGGGAAAAGGCAAGAAAGGUAAAGGUCACAAAAUCAUCUUAUCAUCUGGAGGUGGUAAAUGUCCAGGGGAACAGAAAAUUACUCAUAUUCCCUUCCCAAUGCCUGUUCCUCACUAUGAACAUGUUCAUCAUCAUGGUGGUUGGGGUCAUGGUGGUUCUGAGAGACGAGAAAGUCAAAUGGCUGCUGGAUCAAUGCCAGUUGGCUCAAUGACCUCAAGCAGUUCACCAGUUCCCACAGCAACAGUAGCUGAUAAAGGAGACAGAGGAAUGAUGAUCCCAUUCCCCUUUGACCCACAAAGAAUGGACAUGCCCUACGCACCUCAUCACAUGGAAAUGGCCGGUGCCAAUCCCGCUGUUGCCUAUGUACCUCAUCCAUAUGGUGGACAACAACAAGCUCACCAUGGACACGGUGGUCCACAUCAUCAUCAUCAUCAAGGUUAUGGGCCAAUGCAUCAAUACAUGUAGACGAUCAUUUUAAUUUCAUCUCAAAUACAACAAUCAUCUAAUUAGAAAUAUCAACAACUAAAAAUAUAAACACGAUCUCAAUUUGAGACGCAAGGUAGAUCCUUGGAAUCGUAAUCAAAUUGGAUCAACAUUUUCUGUCACCCCAACAAAUUAACAUUGUUUUUUUUAAGCGAUCAGCCUCCGAGAAUUCAAAAUGGCCACCGAUACAUAUAGCCCUAAGGCCUAUGAUCAACGACACAUAAACACACACACACACAUACAUCAUUACCACAAACAUCACACAAAUUUCACCUUCAUCAUCAUCAUUCAAUUAUAACAAUGACAAGAUUUGAUAUCUUGAUCAGUUAAUUAACUUUUUUUUGUUCGAUAACUUUUUUUUUUAUAUUCACAAGAAAUGGGAAAACCCUCUUACAAUUAAAAGAGUUUGU